CCGGGGCUCAGGGGACUGCCGAGCGGGCUGGGGGGAGGGUUGCGGGGGCGGCGGGAUACGGAUUUGGGUGAAC
rnacentral:tRNA from 1 species